CCUACGGGUGUCUGCAGUGGGGAAUAUUGCACAAUGGGGGAAACCCUGAUGCAGCGACGCCGCGUGAGUGAAGAAGUAUUUCGGUACGUAAAGCUCUAUCAGCAGGGAAGAAAAAAAGUCCUUUGGACUUUGGACGGUACCUGACCAAGAAGCACCGGCUAACUACGUGCCAGCAGCCGCGGUAAUACGAAGGGGGCAAGCGUUAUCCGGAUUUAUUGGGUGGAAGGGGAGCGUAGACGGCAGCGCAAGUCUGGAGUGAAAUGACGGGGCCCAACCCCGGAACUGCUUUGGAAAGUGGGCAGCUGGAGUGCAGGAGAGGUAAGCGGAAUUCCUAGUGUAGCGGUGAAAUGCGUAGAUAUUAGGAAGAACACCAGUGGCGAAGGCGGCUUAUUGGACUGUAACUGACGUUGAGGCUCGAAAGCGUGGGGAGCAAACAGGAUUAGAUACCCGAGUAGUC
rnacentral:rRNA from 1 species